rnacentral:rRNA from 1 species
GAUGAACGCUAGCUACAGGCUUAACACAUGCAAGUCGAGGGGCAGCAUUUUUAGUUUGCUUGCAAACUAAAGAUGGCGACCGGCGCACGGGUGAGUAAACACGUAUCCAACCUGCCGAUAACUCGGGGAUAGCCUUUCGAAAGAAAGAUUAAUAUCCGAUAGCAUAUUAGAACCGCAUGGUUUUACUAUUAAAGAAUUUCGGUUAUCGAUGGGGAUGCGUUCCAUUAGUUUGUUGGCGGGGUAACGGCCCACCAAGACAACGAUGGAUAGGGGUUCUGAGAGGAAGGUCCCCCACAUUGGAACUGAGACACGGUCCAAACUCCUACGGGAGGCAGCAGUGAGGAAUAUUGGUCAAUGGACGAGAGUCUGAACCAGCCAAGUAGCGUGAAGGAUGACUGCCCUAUGGGUUGUAAAACUUCUUUUAUAUGGGGAAUAAAGUAUUCCACGUGUGGGAUUUUGUAUGUACCCAUAUGAAUAAGGGAUCGGGCUAACUCCGUGCCAGCAGCCG